UACAGAGGUGGCAAGCGUUGUUCGGAAUUACUGGGCGUAAAGGGCGCGUAGGCGGUUUCGUAAGUCCCGUGUGAAAGCCCCCGGCUCAACUGGGGAACUGCACGGGAAACUGCGAGGCUUGAGUUCGGGAGAGGGAAGCGGAAUUCCGGGUGUAGCGGUGAAAUGCGCAGAUAUCAGGAGGAACACCGGUGGCGAAGGCGGGUCUCUGGGCCGAUACUGACGCUGAGGAGCGAAAGCGUGGGGAGCGAACAGG
rnacentral:rRNA from 1 species